rnacentral:tRNA from 1 species
GCUGGAGUAGCUCAGUUGGUAGAGCAACUGCCUUGUAAACAGUAGGUCGUCGGUUCGAGUCCGACCUUCAGCUCCA